GGGAUACUUAAGAAAGAUGUGUGGAAUGAAUACACGAAGACCUUCUAGUUGAGAAGUAGUUUGUCUUCUAGUUGGGAGGAAGUAAACAUAGGUGGAGACAUGGGAAAAAAUUUAUGAAACAGCUCAUUGGCUUUUUAAUGACACAGAAAUUGCCCUGGAGGUCAUCUGUCAGGCUGGAUCCUUUCUAGGUGGGUCUGCCUAGGCUCACUUGCCUGAGGCCUUACAGGAAGCUGAUGGGGGGCUGAGAUGCGGCCCAGAGCCCCCAACCUUCAGCCCUAUAUCUGUACCACCCACCUCUCCCCUCUCUCCCACCCCGCUCCUGGUGGCUGGGCGCGCUCUCUCUGUCUCCUCGUGUUCCCCAGGUGCUGUUACUCCGAAUAAAGAGAGGAAGAGGGAGAGGUGGUUUUAGGAGACAGGCAGUCAUCAUGAGGGAGAAUUUCCUGUUUAAUGCCUCUUCACAAUAUUUGUUGCACAGAUACAUUAUAAACCACAUUUCCUUUUGUUUUUCAUAUAUCCUGCCAGAGCUGGCUAAUACCUUCUUGUCCAGGGAUUUUAAACACAUCUUGAACGGGCCUCUCCCAGGAGUUUAGGGUAAUCCGACUCUCCGUCCUGGGUAAGUUAAUAAGAGCUCCAAGCCUCAUAUCCUUCCAGAGACCAAAUGGUCUUCAGGGGUCCUCCCUAGGUGGCAGCCUGUCUGACCUGGACAGUCACAGUCUUCUAACCAAUUUCUUUUUCAUUUUCUGAGCCACAUUUCUUUAUGACAUCUGCGGAGGUGGGUUAUAAGCCCUGAUUCCUGUGAUCAGUCUUUCCAUGAGAGUGCAGAAAGGCCCAAAGGAUGAAGCUUUUGGAAACAUCCUCCAAAGGGCAGGGUGACUCUGUCUCCCUUGAUUCGGCAAAGACCCAGCCUGAAGGAGGGCAUCAUGCUUGCUCCACUGGUGCUUUCCCUCCUCUCGUUAUUUUCCCCAGAACCAUACCCCACAUCCAGCCUGGAUUCUGGGUUCCAGAACAGCUUUUCUUCAACAUACAUCCUAUAAUUGCAUUGGAUGGAAACGUUUCAUUAAAGCAAGGGAGUGCUGAGGCCGGGGUGGCUGGUGGUAAAGACUUCCCUUGAAAGGCAAUAAGGAUCAGGACACCUUGUAUUUGUAAGUCCGUCUUCAUACAAAUCCUACUCAACUGGACAAUGGGGCUGCUUGUGACUCUUCCUCGAAAUCUUGGCAGCUCCAUGCAGGUAGAAGCAGGGCCUCCCCAGUUCACGAUCCCUGCAGCAGCUCUUGCCCUGGUAGGCGGUAAGCACUCAACACAUAAUGCUGAAUGAAUGGAAAAGUUUACCUAGUGCCCCACAUCCUAUUUCCUGUUUUCUGAAUCCAAUUUAACUUCUUCUUCGCUGCGUUAUUAAACCAUUGUCAAACAUCUG
rnacentral:lncRNA from 1 species